rnacentral:rRNA from 1 species
UGGGGAAUCUUCCGCAAUGGACGAAAGUCUGACGGAGCAACGCCGCGUGAGUGAAGAAGGUUUUCGGAUCGUAAAGCUCUUUCGUCAGGGACGAACGUAUUUCUUGUAAAUAAUGAGAGAUAGUGACGGUACCUGAAUAAGAAGCCACGGCUAACUACGUGCCAGCAGCCGCGGUAAUACGUAGGUGGCAAGCGUUGUCCGGAAUUAUUGGGCGUAAAGCGCGCGCAGGCGGGAUAUCAAGUCUGUCUUAAAAGUGCGAGGCUCAACCUCGUGAGGGGACAGAAACUGGUAUUCUUGAGUGUCGGAGAGGAAAGUGGAAUUCCAAGUGUAGCGGUGAAAUGCGUAGAGAUUUGGAAGAACACCAGUGGCGAAGGCGACUUUCUGGACGAUGUCUGACGCUGAGGCGCGAAAGCUAGGGGAGCGAACG